CCCUUAGAUGUUCUGGGCUGCACGCGUGCUACACUGAUUAUUUCAACAAGUGUUUUAACUGGAGAGUUUGCGUAAUCCUGAAAUGUUAUCGUGAUGGGAGUAGAGUAUUGUAUUUGUUAAUCUUUAACGAGGAAUUCCUAGUAAGUGUGGGUUUAUAAGUUGUUCUGAUUACGUCCCUGCCCUUUGUACACACCGCCCGUCGCUCCUACCGAUUGAUUGAUCCGGUGAAUUACAUAGAAUUUUGCGUUUUACAUGACGGAAGACGAAGUGUUUUAAACCUUAUCAUUUAGAGGAAGGAGAAGUCGUAACA
rnacentral:rRNA from 1 species